rnacentral:misc_RNA from 1 species
GUGAAUCAUCGAAUCUUUGAACGCACAUUGCGCCCUUUGGUAUUCCGAGGGGCACGCCUGUUCGAGCGUCAUUUAAACCAUCAAGCCCUGCUUGGUCUUGGACGCGGUCGAGUGACCCGUCCGUAACCCGUUGGCGGUGCAGUCCGGCUUCAAGCGUAGCAAGAAUUUCGCUUUAGGAGUCCGCGGCGGCGUCUGCCAGGAAACACCACCUAAAGUUUGACCUCGGAUCAGGUGAGGAUACCCGCUGAACUUAAGCAUAUCAAUAAGCGGAGGA